rnacentral:lncRNA from 1 species
CCUAAGGUGUUAAGACAAUACCGAUUUUUAGAAAAAGUUUUCCCAAGUCUUUUACAUCCUAUUAUAAACCUGUCUUAAAGCCUGAAUAUUCAAGAUGUACUGUUUUCUUGGCUAAAUUUUGUAAGGUUAAGGAAAUGGGGGAAAUAAGGAUACACUUACACGGAUGACUCGUCAGACACAUGUUAUUUUAUUGAAAGGAAAAAAAACAAGCAACUAAAACAUAAAACAUACUAAAAUUAAAAGAAAACGGUAAAAAGCGAUAAAAAUAAAGGAAA